AUGGAGAAAUACACACAUCCACAGAGCGCGAAAGGCUCUAAUAAUGUAUGAUGCUCCAUGGGUAAGAGGGGACAAUUUUAACAACAAAUUCCUAAAGUUUGAAGACAUUUUGAUAUUUCUCUUUCUUUGAAAACAACCUGCAAAGAAUAGGAAAUAUCUGAAGAAAGCCAAAAGCCAAGCUGUGUGGGUCACUGUAGCCUAUCUUUUGAUGGGCCUUGCUUUCAUAUAUGGGUAACAUGACUAAAUGAUGAUUGAAAAUUUUAAAAAUUUUACCAUGGCGCCGCG
rnacentral:misc_RNA from 1 species